GCUUCGCGGUACCUUCACGGCGAUAUUGACGACGGCAAGACGGAAGCCCGGUGAGAGUCCGGCACGGUCGCGCCACUGUAAGCCCAGCACCAUCUGCCCGGCUCCACCGGGCAGAUGUACGCGAAGCAAGUCAGACCCGUAGCCGUCGUACCGAGCACCAC
rfam:Streptomyces ipomoeae 91-03 gcontig_1108499717507, whole genome shotgun sequence.